rnacentral:rRNA from 1 species
GACGAACGCUGGCGGCGUGCUUAACACAUGCAAGUCGAACGGAAAGGCCCUGCUUUUGUGGGGUGCUCGAGUGGCGAACGGGUGAGUAACACGUGAGUAACCUGCCCUUGACUUUGGGAUAACUUCAGGAGACUGGGGCUAAUACCGGAUAGGAGCUCCUGCUGCAUGGUGGGGGUUGGACAGUUUCGGCGGUUGGGGAUGGACUCGCGGCUUAUCAGCUUGUUGGUGGGGUAGUGGCUUACCAAGGCUUUGACGGGUAGCCGGCCUGGGAGGUUGACCGGCCACAUUGGGACUGCGAUACGGCCCAGACUCCUACGGGAGGCAGCAGUGGGGAAUAUUGCACAAUGGGCGGAAGCCUGAUGCAGCAACGCCGCGUGCGGGAUGACGGCCUUCGGGUUGUAAACCGCUUUCGCCUGUGACGAAGCGUGAGUGACGGUACUGGGUAAAGAAGCACCGGCUAACUACGUG